GACGAACGCUGGCGGCGUGCUUAACACAUGCAAGUCGAACGGAAAGUCCCUGCUUUUGUGGGGUGCUCGAGUGGCGAACGGGUGAGUAACACGUGAGUAAGCUGCCCUUGACUUUGGGAUAACUUCAGGAAACUGGGGCUAAUACCGGAUAGGAGCUCAUGCUGCAUGGUGGGGCUUGGUAAGUUUCGGCGGUUGGGGAUGGACUCGCGGCUUAUCAGCUUGUUGGUGGGGUAGUGGAUUAGCAAGGUUAUGACGGGUAGCCGGCCUGAGAGGGUGACCGGCCACAUUCGGACUGGGAUACGGCCCAGACUACUACGGGAGGGAGGGAUGGGGAACUUUACACAGUAGGCGGAAGGAUGGUGCAACAACGCCGCGUCCGGGAUGUCAGCCUUCGGGGAGGAAACCACUUUCGCCUGUAACGUAGCGAGAGUGACGGUAAUGUGUCAAGAAGCACCGGCUAACUACGUG
rnacentral:rRNA from 1 species